UACAGAGGUCUCAACCGUUGUUCGGAAUUACUGGGCGUAAAGGGCGCGUAGGCGGUCUUUUAAGUCUUGUGUGAAAUCCCUCGGCUCAACUGAGGAACUGCACGGGAUACUGGAAGACUUGAGUUCGGGAGAGGGAAGCGGAAUUCCGGGUGUAGCGGUGAAAUGCGUAGAUAUCCGGAGGAACACCGGUGGCGAAGGCGGCUUCCUGGACCGAUUACUGAUGCUGAGGCGCGAAAGCUAGGGGAGCAAACGGG
rnacentral:rRNA from 1 species